CGAACGCCGCGUGAGCGAAGAAGGUUUUCGGAUCGUAAAGCUCUGUUGUGAGGGAAGAACAAGUACGGGAGUAACUGUCCGUACCUUGACGGUACCUCAUUAGAAAGCCACGGCUAACUACGUGCCAGCAGCCGCGGUAAUACGUAGGUGGCAAGCGUUGUCCGGAAUUAUUGGGCGUAAAGCGCGCGCAGGCGGUCCUUUAAGUCUGAUGUGAAAGCCCAUGGCUCAACCGUGGAAGGUCAUUGGAAACUGGAGGACUUGAGUACAGAAGAGGAAAGCGGAAUUCCACGUGUAGCGGUGAAAUGCGUAGAGAUGUGGAGGAACACCAGUGGCGAAGGCGGCUUUCUGGUCUGUAACUGACGCUGAGGCGCGAAAGCGUGGGGAGCAAACAGGAUUAGAUACCCUGGUAGUCCACGCCGUAAACGAUGAGUGCUAAGUGUUAGGGGGUUUCCGCCCCUUAGUGCUGCAGCUAACGCAUUAAGCACUCCGCCUGGGGAGUACGGCCGCAAGGCUG
rnacentral:rRNA from 1 species